UACGUAGGGUGCAAGCGUUAAUCGGAAUUACUGGGCGUAAAGCGUGCGCAGGCGGUUUUGUAAGUCUGUCGUGAAAUCCCCCGGGCUCAACCUGGGAAUUGCGAUGGAGACUGCAAGGCUAGAAUCUGGCAGAGGGGGGUAGAAUUCCACGUGUAGCAGUGAAAUGCGUAGAGAUGUGGAGGAACACCGAUGGCGAAGGCAGCCCCCUGGGUCAAGAUUGACGCUCAUGCACGAAAGCGUGGGGAGCAAACAGGAUUAGAAC
rnacentral:rRNA from 1 species